rnacentral:lncRNA from 1 species
UACUUGAAUUGCUUUGAUUGAUUGAUUCAAGUGAUGGACUUAAUAUGAUGAGUAACCAUGAAUCCUUAUUGAAGCCCUUUUCUUUCUACUAAAUGAUCUCAAAUAGUCACUAGAACUAAAACUUCAUUUUCAUCUUGAGUUUGAUCUUGAUCUUCAAUUUGAGUACUAAAAGUAUACACCAAGUACAUUUCACAACCAAAUGCCCUUGUACUCAUUACUUGUCAUGCUUAUAGAUCAAUUCAAAACAAAACUUAGGUGCCUCAAACACUUGUAAACAUGUCUCCAACUUGAGGACCUUUCAAUUGAAGUGACUUUAGAUCAAUCCAAUAAUUGUCACUUUUCUGGCAGAUUCUGUACCCUUUAAAGAAAUAUCCAUAUCUCACAAUGUACAUAUCCAAAUACCACGAAAUUUGGUGGAGAUGUGCUUUACUGAGUCAUCUAGCAUCUGUAAAAAUUUAAUCUUCUUUUGAUAUAUAGACUGCUACCAGAUUUCAAUUCUUCCACCACUGCUACAUGCUGAAAACUGCUGCACUAUAGCUGAUAAGAUCUACUCCAAAACCGAAGUAUCCCUUAUCCCAUUCUCAUGAAAUUUCUACAGCAUCUUCUACGAUAAUUGUACAGCAUGCAUACCAAAUUUCAAGCCAUUUCAAUAAUAUUUGUUUACUCGAACUCAGACUUGAUCACUGCUAGCUCAGAUUUUCAAUAAUAGACAGAUUUCAAGCAAUUGAGCUAUGCUUGUUCAAAUUGAAUCAAACUUAAAAAAGACUUGUUUGAAUACUUUCACAAGACAUAUAUCAAUUCAAUCCACUCACUAAAAGUCAUCUUAUGAACUUAUCCAACUCAAAUCAAUCCAAACUUGAUUACUAACCAUUUAAUCCAUUCAAUCAUCUUAUAGCAAGCAACAUUGCAUAUUUAUCCAUUUCAAUCAACUCAUAUGCACCCAAAUGAAUGUGAUCAACAAAGAUAUACCUUGGUUAGCUCAUGAUCAUCCAAUUUGCAAGCUUCAACUCAUGUAUUUGUGUAACACCCAAAAAUUUGUUUUCAAUCAAUAGGAAUUAAUUUGAUUUAAUUAAGCAUUUUGGUGAGCAUUGAAUCUAGUGAAUAAAAUAGUUUUGGUCAAAAUUAAAAUUUAUUAUGAUUUUAGAAAACAUGGUUGUGCAUUUCAUGCUGGUGCAUAUUUAAUUUUGUGUUGUUGCCUUUUGUUUGAUUUUGUUUGCAUUCAAAACUCUCUUUGAAAAGGCUUGGGAAAAAUAUAUUGGAAAAAGUUAAAAAAAAAAAACAAAACCCCUAGCCGUAGCCAGCCCCCGCGCGCGGCCCAGCACCCCUGCGGCCCAGCUGCGCGGCCAGGGCGCGCAUGCGCACCCCCCUCCCCUCUCUGUCUGACCGCUAGGCCCGUUCCUUCCCCCCCCUCCUUGCCGCUGACAUGCGGGCCCCACUGGGCGGCGCUCGUCCCCCUCCUCUCGCCGUGAGCGAGUAGGACUCGGCCGAGAGAUUUUCCACCGAACCGAAACCGUGGACUCCGGGAUUUGCUUGCCAAAACGUUUGCCCAGCGCCCUAUAAAGCUUCCAAGUAUCCCAGCGGAUUUCUUUUUCCGUUAGACGCGCGUCCGAGGAACCCUAGCCGCCGUUUUCUUCAAGGACGCGAUCUCGCCGAGAGCUCGGAGCUCGCCAACCCUCUCUGCUCCUUCCCAGGCCGAGCAACAACCCCAGACGUGUUCGCGGUGAGCCCCUCUUUCGCCUGAUGUCAUCCAUUUGUUCUCUAGUGCACGGAAUCGCGCGACCCGCGGUCUCCGGCGAGUCCUGGGCGGCGCCCAUGGCGCACCGCCGCGGGAGGCUCUGUCCCGGCGGCCGGUCGGCCGGGCUCGGCCCUGGAAGGAACACCAACCGCCCGAUCGGAGAUCAAGGGCUCAGAAAGAAGCGUACCCAUUCGGCUGAAAUACUUCAUAAAGAGUCCCUGUAUAGUUUUACAAAUUACCCCGCGGUCCUUGGCGUAUUCUGCUAAAUACGUUUCUCCGUUUUAAACACGUAUUUUCGUCGGUUCAAGUGAAAAGGCGCAAUCAGAUAUUUACAGUUUUGCCAU